UACGUAGGGAGCAAGCGUUGUCCGGAAUCAUUGGGCGUAAAGCGCGCGUAGGCGGCCCCGUAAGUCCGCUGUGAAAGUCAAAGGCUCAACCUUUGAAAGCCGGUGGAUACUGUGGGGCUAGAGUACGGAAGAGGCGAGUGGAAUUCCUGGUGUAGCGGUGAAAUGCGUAGAUAUCAGGAGGAACACCGGUGGUGUAGACGGCUCUCUGGACCGUAACUGACGCUGAGGCACGAAAGCGUGGGUAGCAAACAGG
rnacentral:rRNA from 1 species